rnacentral:misc_RNA from 1 species
GUAUUUUCUUGUUUCCAAAUCAGAUGAAUUAUCAGGCAAACACUUUUUUUCAAGUCAACCAAAUCAAACUUUCUCUCAUUCAUUUCAAUAGUUGUGAUCGUUUGUUUGAGGAAAGAAUCAAGAAGAUUCUUUCCUUUGAUAUAAUAAAAUAUCCUUUGAUGAUCCCUCCGCAGGUUCACCUACGGAGA